CUCCUUGGUGACCGAUAGUGGAUGAGUACCGUGAGGGAAGGGUGAAAAGUACCCCGGGAGGGGAGUGAAAGAGUUCCUGAAACCGGUCGCAUGCAAGCCGUCAGAGCCUGUGUGGUGAUGGCGUGCCUUUUGAAGAAUGAGCCUGCGAGUUAGUGAUGCGUGGCGAGGUUAACCCGUGGUGGGGGAGUCGUAGCGAAAGCGAGUCCGAUAAGGGCGUGAGUCGCGUGUUCUAGACCCGAAGCGGUGUGAUCUAUCCAUGGCCAGGAUGAAGCGUCGGUAAGACGUCGUGGAGGUCCGAACCCACUUCAGUUGAAAAUGGAGGGGAUGAGUUGUGGAUAGGGGUGAAAGGCCAAUCAAACACCGUGAUAGCUGGUUCUCCCCGAAAUGCAUUUAGGUGCAGCGUUGCGUGGUUCUUGUUGGAGGUAGA
rnacentral:rRNA from 1 species